rnacentral:rRNA from 1 species
AUACGAAGGGGGCUAGCGUUGUUCGGAAUUACUGGGCGUAAAGCGCGCGUAGGCGGUCUGUUUAGUCAGGCGUGAAAUCCCUGGGCUCAACCCAGGAAUUGCGUUUGAAACUGGCAGACUAGAGUUCGGGAGAGGAGAGUGGAAUUCCCAGUGUAGAGGUGAAAUUCGUAGAUAUUGGGAAGAACACCAGUGGCGAAGGCGGCUCUCUGGACCGAUACUGACGCUGAGGUGCGAAAGCGUGGGGAGCAAACAGGAUUAGAAACCCCGGUAGUCC